rnacentral:rRNA from 1 species
CUGCUGCCUCCCGUAGGAGUCUGGUCCGUGUCUCAGUACCAGUGUGGGGGACCUUCCUCUCAGAACCCCUAUCCAUCGUCGUCUUGGUGGGCCGUUACCCCGCCAACUAACUAAUGGAACGCAUCCCCAUCGAUAACCGAAAUUCUUUAAUAUCAAGAUCAUGCGAUCUUGAUAUGCUAUCGGAUAUUAAUCUUUCUUUCGAAAGGCUAUCCCCGAGUUAUCGGCAGGUUGGAUACGUGUUACUCACCCGUGCGCCGGUCG